CCGCCAAUCCCACCCCCACUUUCCCAAUUCUUUCUUCAACCAUGGUUAGACUAAAAAAUGCGAGAACGACAGAGAAGAAGAGUGAGAGAGAACCCCAUAACUUCGCUAUUCUUGAGCAGAAGAGGUAAGCUCAUAUCUCUAUAUUUUACGGUUUGUGAGUUUUUUCGUACCUACUUGACAUGAAUUUUUGGUUUUAAUUUUGCGAAUUAUUCAGCAAUUUAAUAUUCUGCCCUAUUUUUGAUAUAUAGUGAGUGAAAAUUUGAAGAUUUUGAAGUGGUAAUUUUGGGAGGAGCCAUAGUUCAUGGACUGUAACAGCAAAGUAACAUUAGAAAAUUGUGAUGAAGAUCCUUUAAGAAGUUUAAAAAGUC
rnacentral:lncRNA from 1 species